rnacentral:lncRNA from 1 species
GGGAUCUAAGAUUGACUUACAGAAGCAAGUGCAAGUGCCAAGAAGCCAGGAGCCAUGUCUAUUUUCUUCUCUACAAGUUCUACUCAGUACCUAAUUCAGUGACUAAUACAGAGCAGGAAUUUGACAGAUGCCUGUUGAAUGAAUGACAAUAGGGGAUUUUGGACAGUUGGAUUAAUUUUUCCAUUUAAGAUGAGCAUACUGAAGCCCAGAGACAUUAAGUAACUAGGCUCAUUAGUAGUGACAGUGAUGUUGCCACCAAACUGUAAAGCCAGGAUUUGGACUCAGGCAAGUGACCCCACAGUUGUGUUCUUGAGUGCUCCACCGCAGCAUCACUACAGGAAGUGGACUAGAUUCUCAUGGGCCUUCAGGAUGAUGAAGAAUUCUGGACGAUUUACAGUGGAAAAUCAGGAUUACUGUGGUUUUUGCCUGCUCCUCCCUGUUCUUCCUUCUUUGUUGUUUAGACAAAUUCUAAACGACAGACCUUCAGCUCUCAAAUGCUAGAACCUUGACGAAGAUUUAUAGCCUAUUCUCUUUAGAGUGCCACUUUUCCUUCCUUUCUUAACUGGACUAUGAAUGGCUCUUAUCUACUUUUGUUCUUUUAUUUUUUUCACAUUUUACUCCAAUUUCCUAGAAUAAAUUCAUAAAUAAUUGGAAGCUGGUUUGGAGACACAGCAAUAAAUUUUUUUAAAUGAUGCUUUGUAGUAGCGACUUAGGCAUUUUCCUUAUUAUGGAUAUGUCUGGACUGUACAAGGAUCUCUUUGUAUAACCAACCUCAAUAAACUGAUGGAUGGAACAGAGGCUUCAUUUGUCUUUGGCACAGUGGCACUAACCUGCUUCAGAAUUUUGACAUCAAUUGUUAGACAUUAAGUAACUUGCCUCUUUCUCAUGAGCCCAGUCAUCAAAAAGGGACAUGGAAAUAUCCUAAUGUUUCACCUGUUUUAUU